rnacentral:other from 1 species
CUAUCCCUGCCAUGCUCGUGAAGAUGCGACAAUAUUGAGCCAACAGUAUUGGAAGGGGAGCCUUAGAUUUUCGAGUAGAUUGCAGGCCGCCUCGGCGCGGAAGCACGAAGCUUGGAUGCGGGCACCCACUUGGACCGCAAGGUUCAACGAGUCAAGUCUCACGGCAUUGUGGCGGGGAUUUU